CGAAUGUAACUGACAUCUCCAAACUCCACCAUGACCAAAAAUAAAUCAAGACAAACCUACAACCACCACCAUGGAAACAGACAACCAAUGAGCUGAAGAGAUGAGCAAAAUUCAACUGCUCCAAAAUGAUAGUGGAUGUACAAGUCCAGUGUGUUUGCUGUAACAAGUUAGCGCGAUGAAAUAUGGAAAAACCUAUUUGCCUCUGUCUUCACAAUUUGCACAAAGCCCCUUUCUGGUGAGGAUUGCGUUGCACUGAUCUCUACACAUUUUCCCGGCAUGCAGUGCUGUUUGGCCCUUUAUGGGAUGGGCACAAAGACCCUGUGUCUACCUUCCCAGUGAGCUGCAUAAGAGACUAGGCACAGUGGAGACACAUACAAGGGUGCUUUCUUUGGUAAAGUUUUCUGGCCAUCUUAGGAGGGCUCCAUGCAUGAUGUGAGUGCUUCAAGAGUUUUGAAGUCCCCUGGGGAAAAGGACAACAAAUAAGCAUGCUUUUGGAAGAGUUUUGUGAAGAAGUCAAUAUCCUGGAGAUAAUGGGAUGCCACAGAGCA
rnacentral:lncRNA from 1 species